rnacentral:rRNA from 1 species
CACGGAGGGAUCAUUACCGAGUUUACAACUCCCAAACCCAUGUGAACAUACCUACUGUUGCUUCGGCGGGAUUGCCCCGGGCGCCUCGUGUGCCCCGGAUCAGGCGCCCGCCUAGGAAACUCAACUCUUGUUUUAUUUUGGAAUCUUCUGAGUGGUUUUUACAAAUAAAUAAAAACUUUCAACAACGGAUCUCUUGGUUCUGGCAUCGAUGAAGAACGCAGCGAAAUGCGAUAAGUAAUGUGAAUUGCAGAAUUCAGUGAAUCAUCGAAUCUUUGAACGCACAUUGCGCCCGCCAGUAUUCUGGCGGGCAUGCCUGUCUGAGCGUCAUUUCAACCCUCAUGCCCCUAGGGCGUGGUGUUGGGGAUCGGCCAAAGCCCGCGAGGGACGGCCGGCCCCUAAAUCUAGUGGCGGACCCGUCGUGGCCUCCUCUGCGAAGUAGUGAUAUUCCGCAUCGGAGAGCGACGAGCCCCUGCCGUUAAACCCCCAACUUUCCAAGGUUGACCUCAGAUCA